AUGAACGCUGGCGGCGUGCCUAAUACAUGCAAUUCGAGCGAACAGACGAGGAGCUUGCUCCUCUGACGUUAGCGGCGGACGGGUGAGUAACACGUGGAUAACCUACCUAUAAGCCUGGGAUAACUUCGGGAAACCGGAGCUAAUACCGGAUAAUAUAUUGAACCGCAUGGUUCAAUAGUGAAAGACGGUUUUGCUGUCACUUAUAGAUGGAUCCGCGCCGCAUUAGCUAGUUGGUAAGGUAACGGCUUACCAAGGCAACGAUGCGUAGCCGACCUGAGAGGGUGAUAGGCCACACUGGAACUGAGACACGGUCCAGACUCCUACGGGAGGCAGCAGUAGGGAAUCUUCCGCAAUGGGCGAAAGCCUGAAGGAGCAACGCCGCGUGAGUGAUGAAGGUCUUCGGAUCGUAAAACUCUGUUAUUAGGGAAGAACAAAUGUGUAAGUAACUAUGCAAGUCUUGACGGUACCUAAUCAGAAAGCCACGGCUAACUACGUG
rnacentral:rRNA from 1 species